AGUACAGAGGGUUGCCAAGCCGUAAGGUGGAGCUAAUCCCUUAAAGCUACUCUCAGUUCGGAUUGUAGGCUGAAACUCGCCUACAUGAAGCUGGAGUUACUAGUAAUCGCAGAUCAGAAUGCUGCGGGGAAUGCGUUCCCGGGUCUUGUACACACCGCCCGUCACACCACGGGAGUUGGAGACGCCCGAAGCCGAUUAUCUAACCUUUUGGAAGAAGUCGUCGAAGGUGGAAUCAAUAACUGGGGUGAAGUCGUAACAAGGUAGCCGUAUCGGAAGGUGCGGCUGGAUCACCUCCUUUCUAAGGAGA
rnacentral:rRNA from 1 species